CCAGUUCAGGAGUGAUAUCCUCUACUACUCAAGUCAGAGAAUUAGCCUCUCCAUUCGGUGAGAUCUAUAUUGGAACUCCAGGACAAUGGGCAGAAAGAUAGGCAAGCAUGAGCCUUUGAAUGGGAUAUCAAGCUGGAUACCUUUCCAACCUGGAGUAUUUUUUUCUCUUCGAAGGACUUUCUGGAGAUAUUUGUUUACUACUCCAAAGCAGACUUCCCCAUCCAUCUCUUAUCUGUACAGACUUUGGCUUUUCCAUUUGCCAAACUAGAAUUCUUGCCACAUGUCUGGCAGCAAUGGGUAAAGACUCCCCUCAAUAUCAUCCAGGAACUCAGGAAAACAAGCCAACAAGGAGAGCCCUUUUCACUGAGGUACCACAAUUUCUUCAGCUAUUCACUCAACUGAUGGACACCAACUUUUCUUAUAGUUUUUUGAUAUCACAAAAAUAUUGAUAUAGGAAAACCCACAUAUAAGAGUCUGGAGCCCCAUACCCUCAGGUCUACACACACACAAACAGGAUAUGGGACCCUGAGUUUUGAUAGAAAUUUAAACGUCGAGCCUUGAGCAGGCAUCAAAACAGCCACAGCUGUGGAAGACUGGCUCGAUGGGCCCAGCGGCAUCAGCACUGUCUUUAUAACUGAGGAUUCAAACAACACUCGAUAGACCCCAUAAAAACUCUGCUAAGCAGAUGAGGGUAAAACUUGAAGAAGAUGAUCAUCAAGGGCAUUUUCUAAACAUCUGUCAUGCUGUUGUGUAUUCAAAAUGUAAUCCCACUUGGCCAUAUUCCAAAUGGUAGUGAGGAAGAGUAUGUUUUCCAUUAUUAAUGGCUUGAAUCUCACGGAAGUAGAAUUACUGAUCUAACAUCAAUCAAUCCAAUCCCUGGAAAACCUUCCAUAGAUGGUGGGGUAGGGUGAAGUCAGGUGGUGAGCAGGUCUGUUCAAUCAUUCAUAUUUACCCCUCUUUCCUUAUUACAGACUCACUGCCUAGCUGGGUUCCUUGGCAUAAAUCCUCCUUCUCUGAUCUAGAAAGUUCUAUCAACACAUCAUAAUUUUCUUUUUCUUUCUUUCUUUUAUUUAGCUCCAAACAAUGCUCUAUACAGGGGGCAGGUAGGUGGUGCAAUGGAUAGUGUUCUAGGCCUGGAGU